rnacentral:tRNA from 2 species
GCGCCCGUAGCUCAGCUGGAUAGAGCGCCGGACUUCGAAUCCGUAGGUCGCAGGUUCGAAUCCUGCCGGGCGUA